rnacentral:lncRNA from 1 species
AAAAGAAUAGUCUCCAUUUAUACAACUCAGAUGAAUCCAAGAUCACGACUAGAAACCCAGGCAAAAACCAAAGAAAGCAGCUAUCCUCUCAUCGCUGCUCACUGACCACCGCCAGAAAGUAGAACACACAAGAUCAAAAAUUUAUAUUGUCGCUGGAGCAAAUUUAUCUGUUAGAGGAUUAAUCGAUCCGAAUAGAAUUUAAUUUUAAUAUAAUAAUUUAGGAUAUCUCUAAUUAAUAAAUAAAUAAGAAUUCAUGAAGCACUAACACCAUCAAAGCUCGGCCGGAGAGAUCAUAUCACAAAAACAAGAUUGAUCACUGAUCAGCCACAUGGGUCCCUCCACAAGCAGAGCAAGCUAGCCAGUAGGAGUGGGAGAGCUCUUAGAUUCGCACUCGCACCUCUCGGCAGGCCUAAAUGGAAUUGUCUUCAACCUAGCAAGAUCCCAUCUUCUAGCAGCCAUAUCCUUCUCACCAAAACCUUCAGAUCUUGACACCCAUUGCAUAUUUCAGCAAGUUUCAACAUGUAGCUCUCUCACCAACGGCACAAUCUGCAGUAAAGACAAACAACACAGUCUCAAAAGGGACAAAUUCAAGAUUUUCGCGGUCUGAAAUCAGGAGAGAGACAACACAUAGCGAGUGGGGAAAAAAAAAGAAAGGAACAGCUAGGAGAACGGCAGAGAAGAGCGACUCGCUCUUAAAGGACCCACGAAAAAAGGGAAAAAAAAAUUUCUCUGAGAAAGGAAAUACAUAAAAAAUUAAACUUACAUAUUUGAAAAGAAAAAAAAAACUAUAUAUAUAUAUAUAUAUAUAUAUAUAUAUAUAUAUUAUAAUAUGUGAAAGGAACACAAUUUACAUAGAUUCUGUAUUUGCAAGCGGCUCUUUCUGUAUGACUGACCAGUAAACAUCUCACAAAUCAUACAAAAUGUAUAAAGAAAAUCUUAAAUAACAGACAAUGUUGUGCAUGCACAUGCACGCAUCAAGUUGAUGAAUAUGACUGUCAAUUGUCAACCAAUAUUUAUAUAUAUAUAUGCUGACAAAGGAAUCGCCGUAAGAUAAUUAAUCAAUCAGCUUUCCAAUAAUAUACAUUCCAAAAUCAUAAAUUUGAUUUAC